rnacentral:misc_RNA from 1 species
GAAAUGCGAUAAGUAAUGUGAAUUGCAGAAUUCAGUGAAUCAUCGAAUCUUUGAACGCAUCUUGCGCUCCUUGGUAUUCCGAGGAGCAUGCCUGUUUGAGUGUCAUGGAAUUCUCAACUCUAUUUGCUUUUGUGAAUAGAGCUUGGAUUUGGCGGUUUAUUGCUGGUACUUGUGAUCGGCUCCUCUUGAAUGCAUUAGCUCGAACCUUUGCGGAUCAGCUAUCGGUGUGAUAAUUGUCUACGCCGUUGCAGUGAAGCAUAUCAAUGGGCUCGGCUUCCAAUCGUCCUUUACUGGACAAUGACUUUGACCUUUGACCUCAAAUCAGGUAGGAUUACCCGCUGAACUUAAGC